CUCCUGUGCCUGUUGCGGGCAAAUGAAGUGGAUAUGGGUGUCAAUGCCUCCGGCCGUGAUAAUCUUGCCCUCGCCGGCAAUCACGUCAGUGCAACUUCCGACCACCAUAUUCGGCGUCACAUUCUCCAUAACGUCCGGGUUGCCAGCCUUGCCGAUGCCGACAAUCAUGCCCUCCUUGAUGCCAAUGUCAGCUUUGUAAAUGCCAGUCCAAUCAAUCACUAAUGCGUUUGUAAUAACUAGAUCUAGCGUCUCGGCAUCUGGCCGGUUUGAUGCCUGGCCCAUGCCCUCACGCAG
rnacentral:sRNA from 1 species